rnacentral:rRNA from 1 species
GUGUCGUGAGAUGUUGGGUUAAGUCCCGCAACGAGCGCAACCCUCGUGCCUAGUUGCCAACGGCUCGGCCGGGAACUCUAGGCAGACUGCCGGUGACAAACCGGAGGAAGGUGGGGAUGACGUCAAGUCCUCAUGGCCCUUAUGGGCAGGGCUACACACGUGCUACAAUGGCCGGUACAGAGGGUCGCCAACCCGCGAGGGGGAGCCAAUCCCAAAAAGCCGGUCGUAGUCCGGAUCGGAGUCUGCAACUCGACUCCGUGAAGUCGGAAU